UACAGAGGGUGCGAGCGUUAAUCGGAAUUACUGGGCGUAAAGCGCAUGUAGGCGGCUUGGUAUGUCGGGUGUGAAAUCCCCGGGCUCAACCUGGGAACUGCAUCCGAAACUGCCUUGCUAGAGUAUGGGAGAGGGAAGUGGAAUUUCCGGUGUAGCGGUGAAAUGCGUAGAUAUCGGAAGGAACAUCAGUGGCGAAGGCGACUUCCUGGACCAAUACUGACGCUCAGGUGCGAAAGCGUGGGGAGCAAACAGG
rnacentral:rRNA from 1 species